AGAAGCAAACCCAGGGAAGUGAACCAUCUCAGUACCUGGAGGAAGAGAAAACAACAGUGAUUCCGCUAGUAGCGGCGAGCGAACGCGGAACAGCCUAAACCAUGGGGGCAUGCUCUCAUGGGGUCGUGGGAUCAGAGUUAGGAGUUACAAAAGCUCAGGUUAGCGGAACGGUUUGGAAAGGCCGACCAUAGAACGUGAUAGUCGUGUACGCAAAAACUUAGAACUCUCCGUUAUGCUUUGGCACCCGAGUAAUGCGGGACACGAGGAAUCCUGCAUGAAUUCGCCGGGACCAUCCGGUAAGGCUAAAUACUCCGAAGUGACCGAUAGUGAACCAGUACCGUGAGGGAAAGGUGAAAAGAACCCCGGUGAGGGGAGUGAAAUAGUACCUGAAACCGUGUGCUUACAAGCAGUGGGAGGUCAAGGUUCGUCCUGACUGACCGCGUGCCUUUUGCAUAAUGAGCCGGCUAGUGAAUGUCACAGGCAAGGUUAAACGAUAAGUGAGCCGAAGCGAAAGCGAGUCCUAAUAGGGCGUCUAGUCUGUGGUAUUCGGACGUGAAGCGAGAUGAUCUAUGCAUGGCCAGGCUGAAGCGUGGGUAACACCACGUGGAGGGCCGAACCAGUUUGGGUUGAAAACCAUUUGGAUGAGCUGUGCAUAGGGGUGAAAGGCUAAUCAAAUUUCGUGAUAGCUCGUUCUCGCCGAAAUAGCUUUAGGGCUAGCCUCGGAUGAAUCGUCACGGUGGUAGAGCUCUGAAUGGGCUAGGGGCCUCACAAGGUUACCGAACCCAAUCAAACUUCGAAUGCCGUGCACGUAUAUCCGGGAGUCAGACUACGGGGGCUAAGCUCCGUGGUCGAGAGGGAAACAGCCCAGACCGACAACUAAGGUCCCUAAAUCGUAGUUAAGUGGAAAAGGAAGUAGGGAAGCACUGACAGCCAGGAGGUUGGCUUAGAAGCAGCCAUCCUUUAAAGAAAGCGUAAUAGCUCACUGGUCAAGCAGCCCUGCGCCGACAAUAUAACGGGGCUUAAACUACGUACCGAAGUUUCGGAUUGUCGAGUUGCGAAUUGCGAAUUGCGGAUUACGGAUCUGAACCAGAGACUCAGAUUCCAGAUUCGCAAUUCGAAAUCCGCAAUUCGACGAUGGUAGGCGAGCAUUCCGUAGCUGUGAAGCGGUACCGUAAGGGCCGUUGGAGCGAUCGGAAAAGACUCUGUCGGCAUAAGUAGCGAUAACGCGGGUGAGAACCCCGCGCGCCGUAAACCUAAGGUUUCCUGAGUAAAGUUAAUCUGCUCAGGGUUAGUCGGUACCUAAGGCGAGGCCGAAAGGCGUAGUCGAUGGAAAUCCGGUUAAUAUUCCGGAACCACUAACGUGUGCUGUGGGAGGACGCAGUAGGGUAGGCGAGACGGCGUAUGGAUGUGCCGUUGAACUCACCAUAGCCCGCCGACCAGGCAAAUCCGGUCGGCAUCAGGGUAAAGGUAGGGACGAAAGUAGGGGUAAAACCCGAAAAAAGUCGCUGACCCCAGCUGCCAAGAAAAUUCUCGUUCAGCUAUACACGCGACGUGACCGUACCGCAAACCGACACAGGUAGGUGGGGUGAGAAUCCUAAGGCGCUUGUGAGAACUCUCGUUCAGGAACUCGGCAAACUGACCCCGUAACUUCGGGAGAAGGGGUGCCGUCCUCCGGGACGGUCGCAGAGAAAUGUCCCAGGCGACUGUUUACUAAAAACACAGGUCUCCGCAAAGUCGUGAAGACGACGUAUGGGGGCUGACGCCUGCCCAAUGCUGGAAGGUUAAGAGGAGCGGUUAGCCGCAAGGCGAAGCUGCGAAUCGAAGCCCCAGUGAAUGGCGGCCGUAACUAUAACGGUCCUAAGGUAGCGAAAUUCCUUGUCGGGUAAGUUCCGA
rnacentral:rRNA from 1 species